ensembl:lncRNA
UUCUUACUAAGUCUUUGAAAUUCUAUAUAUAUUUUUACAGUUACAGCAUACCUUAAUUUGGACGAGCCACACAUGGGAAGUGCUCAAUACCCACAUUUAGCUGAUGGCUACCAUAUUGGACAGCACAGAUUUAGAGCAUCUUGAAUUGAAUUAAAUUUGGAACAAAUGCUAUAUAGUCUUUUCAUCUGUAACUCAGCUGUGAAAAUAGCAAUAUCUCACAACUGAGUGCAAAUUUUUAGACAAGAGGUAGAAAAUGACUGACAUUUAUAUUGUUAAUGCCACUAAACUUUUUACUGUAACAACAGCAGAUGUUACUCCUAGAUCCCAACACACUUUCCUACUAAGUCUGCUGGCAGCCAUUGUCAAAGAAUUGAACCUGGCAAAUAAGCUAACACAAGAAGACUAUGAUUUGGAAGUUGCAAUGGAGAUAUUAGAAGAAACACCUAGAUACUUCACUGGAAGUGCUGCAAAAAUGACAGCAUAAAUUGUGCAAUUUCACAACCCUCCAACCCCCCCAAAAAACCUACAAGCAUUUAAUGGCCUUAUGACUAUGCAUGUGACAUGUAUACUUUAUUAGAGGCAUUUCUCAGUUUCCCUCAUCUAAGCUGUUAGGAUUGUAUAAGACUAAGUCAAAGCUGAUCCUCUUUCUAAACCCACCUCUCCCCACAGCCCAAAAUGAUCCUAACUGCCCAAGGAAAAUGGGAAUAUUGAGCUCUCCCAGUAGCUGUAUUCAUGGGAGCAGCACUUUUGUACUUUGCAAGACCAGAUUGGGCUCCCCACCUGCAUUGGUGACCCAUUUAACCGGACUGAUUUUACUGCUUUGUCAAACUUAUUGGGCAUGAAAAUAAAGUCUGCUCUACAGAAGUAAACAAAGGGCCUGGAAACAGUUUGAAGCCUGCCUGCUAAUGAAGGCCCUUGGUCACUUCCUCCUUGAAAAUCAAGGCUUCCUGCAAAAAGAAUAAACUGCCCUCCAUGACAGAGAAUCAAGUAACCAGGUAUUUACAUUUAGACAAGAUUGAGUCUCGUCUGGCAGCCUAGAAAAAUGCACAGCUGUCAAGAAUCAAAUAAAGGCUUUCAAAAAUCUUUCUCAAGAAACAAGCAUGCCAUUUGAAGAGCAAAGCAGUGAGCAAUUUCCACUAACAUCACAGGAAUUUUGAAAACUAAUUCUGUUUGAAAGACACAACCUGCCCAUACCCAUCAGAAGGUCUCUGGUUUCAGCCUUUAAAAAUAUUAUUAUAAAUUUUAACAUACUAGAUUUGUCACCUCCUGUAUAUGCUUUUUGCUUUAAUAAAACAAAAGAUCUAGUGUACUGAUUUUUCACCAAAAAAGAAAUGUUUAACAUUUGGUAGAAAAGUUAUUUUUCCUUCAUACAUAUAUCCAGAGAUAUAUUAUUUUAAGCAGUUUGAUGGGAUCUCAUAAUUAGUUGCUAAUUUCAAAAUCUUGCUAUAAAAGAACUUUAUCUCUAUCAUACAUGAGAGUUCAUUCAUUUUCAUCAGUUUUGAUGUACUAGAGAUUUCACUUGUGGUGUACCCUAGGACUGAAGAGUUUUGAGAAAUAUCUGGAAGAUCAUGGGUUAGGGUGUAUGGAAUUGUGAGGUGGCUUGGACAACGCUGGGAGCUGGAAAUGGGUGGGUAGCAAUUCUGAGAGCAGGAAGACUGCCUCUGUCUUCUUGGCUGCAUAACUAGGUCUUGAGGAAAAGCAUAUGCCAAAAAGCAGAGUAAAAUUAAUAAAUAAGUGGAUAGAUAAAUGCACUCAUCCAUCCGUAGAUGCAGUGUUCAAUCAUUCAGUGAGUAUUUAUUGAGUUCCUGGCACUGAGAAUAUGAGUGUUAGAUUGUUAGAUACAUUGAAGGGCACAGAAAUCCCUGCCCACCUGGAACUUGCAAUCUGGUGGGCGUGGGGAGUGGUAGGGAUAGAAUAAGUUAAAUAUGCAUGUGUGUGUGUGUGUGUGUGUGUGUGUGUGUGUGUGUGUUCACGUGCGCUAAAGAAAAACAAAAAAGUCAGGGGAGGGAAUGUGAGACUAAAGGGGUGUGUUGACAUUGUAGAUAGGUGGCCAAGCAGGUCUCCUUGAGAAGCUGGUACUUGAGUUAAGCGCUGGAAGAAAUGAGGAAGAUCUAAGGGAAGACCUUUCCAGGCAGAAGGAUUCCCAAGUGCAAAGGCUUGAGUCAGAUCAUGUCUAGUGUACUGAAGCAGCAGCAGGGUGAGCAGGUGUAAUGUAGAAGAUGAAGUCAGUGUGAAAUGGGGAAGCAGGCCAAUCAGCACCCAACAGACCAAUGUGGUCCCACCUACUUUUACUUGAUGAGAAGCCACUGGAGGGUUUGAGAACAGGACUGACAUGGUCUCACUUAUACUUCCAUGGGAUCAGCUGACAGUGUGGUGGAAAUAACCACAGAAAGACAGAGAGCAUCACAGAGGCUUAUGAAGAGGUUCCUGCUGUAUCCACAUGUAAAGUCAUGGUAGCUUAGACAGUGGGACAGCACUAGAUUUGAGUAAGAGAAGUACCUAGAGCACAAGUUUAAUUUAAGGAGGCACUCGGCAUCAGCAAUGUUCACAUGUAGUGUCAGCAGGGUCUUCGCUUGCAUGGCUGAGAGGGAAACUUUGUAGCCUAUGCACCUGUCGUGCCUCAACUGGAUCUUGGAUAUGUUGGACAGGGAAAGGACAGUCAAAUUCAGAAGGUGGCACUGACAUGAUGUGCUGAUGGUGUGAAGUGCGGAGGAAAAAGAAGAGUCCAAGAUGACCCCACAUAUUUUAAACCUGUAGAAAGAGAUGGCCAUUUUCUGAUAGGAGUAACCUGUAAGGGAAACAGGUUUGAAGGAAGAAUACCAGAGCUCAGUUUUGGAUGUAUAACACUUUAGAUAUUUUAUUAAACAACUAUGUGAAGAUACAUGAGUCUGGAGUUCAAGUGUAGGGUAUAAAAUGACAGUUACCUGGCCUAAUGAAACACAAUCCAGGGUGGUGAUGGACAAAUAGGGCAAUACACUACAACAUACAACUUGCCAUGAAAUGAUACUCUGAGAUUGCUAUAAAAAUUCAUAGAGAAAUAUCCAGCCUGAACUUGAG